rnacentral:rRNA from 1 species
AACGAACGCUGGCGGCAUGCCUAACACAUGCAAGUCGAACGAGACCUUCGGGUCUAGUGGCGCACGGGUGCGUAACGCGUGGGAACCUGCCCUUAGGUUCGGAAUACCUCCCCGAAAGGGGUGCUAAUACCGGAUAAUGUCUUCGGACCAAAGAUUUAUCGCCUUUGGAUGGGCCCGCGUUGGAUUAGCUAGUUGGUAGGGUAAAAGCCUACCAAGGCGACGAUCCAUAGCUGGUCUGAGAGGAUGAUCCGCCACACUGGGACUGAGACACGGCCCAGACUCCUACGGGAGGCAGCAGUGGGGAAUAUUGGACAAUGGGCGAAAGCAUGAUCCAGCAAUGCCGCGUGAGUGAUGAAGGCCUUAGGGUUGUAAAGCUCUUUUACCCGGGAUGAUAAUGACAGUACCGGGAGAAUAAGCACCGGCUAACUCCGUG